CCUACGGGGAGCAGCAGUGGGGAAUAUUGGGCAAUGGGCGCAAGCCUGACCCAGCAACGCCGCGUGAAGGAAGAAGGCUUUCGGGUUGUAAACUUCUUUUCUCAGGGACGAAGCAAGUGACGGUACCUGAGGAAUAAGCCACGGCUAACUACGUGCCAGCAGCCGCGGUAAUACGUAGGUGGCAAGCGUUAUCCGGAUUUACUGUGUGUAAAGGGCGGGUAGGCGGGAAAGCAAGUCAGAUGUGAAAACCAUGGUCUCAACCUGUGUCCUGCAUUUGAAACUGUGUUUCUUGAGUACUGGAGAGGCAGACGGAAUUCCUAGUGUAGCGGUGAAAUGCGUAGAUAUUAGGAGGAACACCAGUGGCGAAGGCGGUCUGCUGGACAGCAACUGACGCUGAGGCGCGAAGGCGUGGGGAGCAAACAGGAUUAGAUACCCUGGUAGUC
rnacentral:rRNA from 1 species